rnacentral:rRNA from 1 species
AACGGCCGUACCAUGCUGAAUAUACCGGUUCUCGUUAGAUCACCGAAGUCAAGCAUCAUUGGGCGCGGUCAGUACUUGGGUGGGUGACCACCUGGGAACACUGCGUGCCGU